AAUUCUCAACUUCCAACGGUUUCUUUGCAGAUCGUCUUUGGAGGAUUGGAUGUGAGGGCUUUGCCGGCUUUUACGAGUCGGCUCCCUUAAAAAGUCUCAGUGUUGUCUCUUGCUGACGCAACGCCCCCUCGGUGUGAUAAUCUAUCUAUGCCGUGUGUUGGGAGGUCAGACAUUUUGUGAGCAGCGCUUCUAACCGUCUGGUUUUUCCGGACAAGUUAUUCAUGA
rnacentral:misc_RNA from 1 species